rnacentral:rRNA from 1 species
AAUAGAUACCCGGGUAGUCCACGCCGUAAACGAUGAGUGCUAAGUGUUAGGGGGUUUCCACCCCUUAGUGCUGUAGCUAACGCAUUAAGCACUCCGCCUGGGGAGUACGGUCGCAAGACUGAAACUCAAAGGAAUUGACGGGGGCCCGCACAAGCGGUGGAGCAUGUGGUUUAAUUCGAAGCAACGCGAAGAACCUUACCAGGUCUUGACAUCCCGGCGACCGCUAUGGAGACAUAGCUUUCCCUUCGGGGACGACGGUGACAGGUGGUGCAUGGUUGUCGUCAGCUCGUGUCGUGAGAUGUUGGGUUAAGUCCCGCAACGAGCGCAACCCUUGUUCUUAGUUGCCAUCAUUCAGUUGGGCACUCUAAGGAGACUGCCGCAGACAAUGCGGAGGAAGGUGGGGAUGACGUCAAAUCAUCAUGCCCCUUAUGACCUGGGCUACACACGUGCUACAAUGGACGGUACAAACGGUUGCCAAGUCGCGAGACGGAGCUAAUCCGAAAAAACCGUUCUCAGUUCGGAUUGCAGGCUGC